GAUGAACGCUGGCGGCGUGCCUAAUACAUGCAAGUCGAGCGAACAGACGAGGAUCUUGCUCCUCUGACGUUAGCGGCGGACGGGUGAGUAACACGUGGAUAACCUACCUAUAAGACUGGGAUAACUUCGGGAAACCGGAGCUAAUACCGGAUAAUAUAUUGAACCGCAUGGUUCAAUAGUGAAAGACGGUUUUGCUGUCACUUAUAGAUGGAUCCGCACCGCAUUAGCUAGUUGGUAAGGUAACGGCUUACCAAGGCAACGAUGCGUAGCCGACCUGAGAGGGUGAUCGGCCAAAAUGGAACUGAGACACGGUCCAGACUACUACGGGAGGCAGCAGUAGGGAAUCUUCCGCAAUGGGAGAAAGCCUGACGGAGCAACGCCGCGUGAGUGAUGAAGGUCUUCGGAUCGUAAAAAUCUGUUAUUAGGGAAGAACAAAUGUGUAAGUAACUAUGCACGUAUUGACGGUACCUAAUCAGAAGGCCACGGCUAACUACGUG
rnacentral:rRNA from 1 species